rnacentral:lncRNA from 10 species
AACCUUUGCUGUCUUGGGACGGAUCACCGCUGCAAGAGGGGAAGUUGCUACUGUGAUGAAUUCUGCCAUGUGGCACCAGACUGCCACCCAGACCACAGUGUCCUCUGCAACCCUGGUAACUCACAUACAGGCCCGAUUCCACCUACAGCAAAGCUGGAUGCGAUGGCUGGCAGAGGCAAACCCUUUGCCUGCACUUCAGGCCAAAGCCGGGAUGUGGCCUAGAUGGUUCCUAAGGUCCCUGACAAUCCUGAGAUCUUGCAUCUUGUCUAUUUCAGGUCAAAGCUUCUCAGAUGACCAAGAUGGUGCUGCAGAUGGUGCUGAGGAUGGAGAACCCACCAAGCCCCGCUAGGAGCCACCUAGACUGGAUGCAGAGCAUGGACAAUUUGCUGAGGUCUGGGAGCACCCCCUCCAUAGAGUCCCUGAUCUCUCAAAACUUGGUCGUGAUCUAAAGUUUAUUUGAUGUACAACUCCCC